rnacentral:rRNA from 1 species
AACUGAUAUUGACGCUGAGGCACGAAAGCGUGGGGAGCGAAAGGAUUAGAUACCCUGGGCAAGCGUUACUCGGAAAUACUGGGCGUAAAGCGUGCGAUAUCGGAUUAGCUAGUUGGUGGGGUAACGGCUCACCAAGGCGACGAUCCGUAGCUGGUUUGAGAGGACGACCAGCCACACUGGGACUGAGACACGGCCCAGGCUCCUACGGGAGGCAGCAGUGGGGAAUUUUGGGCAAUGGGGGAAACCCUGAUCCAGCCAUCCCGCGGGUGCGAUGAGGCCUUCGGGUUGUAAAGCACUUUUGGCAGGAAAGAAACGUUCCGGGUUAAUACCCCGGGAAACUGACGGUACCUGCAGAAAAGCNCCGGCUAACUACGUGCCAGCAGCCGCGGUAAUACGUAGGCAAGCGUUAAUCGGAAUUACUGGGCGUAAAGCGUGCGCAGGCGGUUCGGAAAGAAAGAUGUGAAAUCCCAGAGCUUAACUUUGGAACUGCAUUUUUAACUACCGAGCUAGAGUGUGUCAGAGGGAGGUGGAAUUCCGCGUGGGAGCAGUGAAAUGCGUAGAUAUGCGGGGAACACCGAUGGCGAAGGCAGCCUCCUGGGAUAACACUGACGCUCAUGCACGAAAGCGUGGGGAGCAAACAGGAUUAGAUACCCUGGUAGUCCGNCGCCCUAAACGAUGUCAACUACGGGUCGCAAGAUUAAAACUCAAAGGAAUUGACGGGGACCCGCACAAGCGGUGGAUGAUGUGGAUUAAUUCGAUGCAACGCCGCCGUAAACGAUGAGUGCUAGGUGUU